rnacentral:lncRNA from 10 species
CUCUUGAUGGGGAAGUAAAAAUGUUAUAUUAUAAUAAGACAUGUGAUUUAGGAGAUAUUGGUGCUAUCAUCUUUGGAAAACAUAACCUGCCAUAGAGUGAAACCAGGAGGUUAAAAGCAAAAACUUAGAGUGACAUAAAAAACAACAGAAGGAAGUAGAAUUAAAGUACCAUGAAGAUAGAGACUAUGACUAUUUUGCAAAUUCCCAGGACUCAGGAGGGAGACUGAAACACAGCAGGUCUGGGAACAGCAUGAAGAAGCAGAAUUGGCGGCUCCAAGCUAACUGGGGCAGGGGAUCAGUAGCAGCUGCGGAACAAGAUGGACCGACCAUCAACAAGAGUACUGUUUAAUAUAUAUUCAAAAGAGAUCGAGAAUGAAUGAGCAGAAGACUCCCAUCAGCUGUUCCAAUGGAAAAUCACGACCUCUCAGUUUCCAGACUUAUACUAGCUCUAAGACCUUGAACAUAUCAACUAAAGGAGAAACAAGAUCUUCAUGAGGAAGGAUCCUGAAACACCACAUGUAUUAGUCUGUUUUCACACUGCUGAUAAAGACAUACCAGGGCUGGGAAG